UGAGGAAUAUUGGUCAAUGGGCGAUAGCCUGAACCAGCCAUGCCGCGUGCAGGAAGACGGCCCUAUGGGUUGUAAACUGCUUUUCUGUCGGAAGAAAGUGGUGUACGUGUACGCCAUUGACGGUACGACAGGAAUAAGCAUCGGCUAACUCCGUGCCAGCAGCCGCGGUAAUACGGAGGAUGCAAGCGUUAUCCGGAUUCAUUGGGUUUAAAGGGUGCGUAGGCGGUGGAAUAAGUCAGUGGUGAAAGCCCGGGGCUCAACUCCGGGAUUGCCAUUGAAACUGUUUCACUUGAGUGUAGUCGAGGACGGCGGAAUGAGUUAUGUAGCGGUGAAAUGCAUAGAUAUAACUCAGAACACCGAUUGCGAAGGCAGCUGUCUAGGCUACAACUGACGCUGAGGCACGAAAGCGUGGGGAGCGAACA
rnacentral:rRNA from 1 species